rnacentral:rRNA from 1 species
UACGGAGGGUGCGAGCGUUAAUCGGAAUCACUGGGCGUAAAGCGCGCGUAGGCGGCGCGAUAAGUCAGGCGUGAAAGCCCUCGGCUCAACCGGGGAAUUGCGCUUGAUACUGUCGUGCUUGAGUCUCGGAGAGGGUGGCGGAAUUCCAGGUGUAGGAGUGAAAUCCGUAGAUAUCUGGAGGAACACCAGUGGCGAAGGCGGCCACCUGGACGAGUACUGACGCUGAGGUGCGAAAGCGUGGGGAGCAAACAGG